rnacentral:rRNA from 1 species
UACGUAGGCAGCAAGCGUUGUUCGGAGUUACUGGGCGUAAAGGGCGUGUAGGCGGUUGGUUAAGUUUGGUGUGAAAUCUCCCGGCUCAACCGGGAGGGUGCGCCGAAUACUGAGUGACUAGAGUGCGGGAGAGGAAAGUGGAAUUCCUGGUGUAGCGGUGAAAUGCGUAGAUAUCAGGAGGAACACCGGUGGUGUAGACGGCUUUCUGGACCGUAACUGACGCUGAGACACGAAAGCGUGGGUAGCAAACAGG